rnacentral:tRNA from 1 species
GCUGUUAUGGCUCUGUGGUUGAGCAUCGAACUAUGAAUCAGGAGGUCAUGGUUCAAUUCCUGGUGAGGGCA